UACGAAGGGGGCUAGCGUUGCUCGGAAUCACUGGGCGUAAAGCGCACGUAGGCGGAUCUUUAAGUCAGGGGUGAAAUCCUGGAGCUCAACUCCAGAACUGCCUUUGAUACUGGGGAUCUCGAGUCCGGAAGAGGUGAGUGGAACUCCGAGUGUAGAGGUGAAAUUCGUAGAUAUUCGGAAGAACACCAGUGGCGAAGGCGGCUCACUGGCCCGGUACUGACGCUGAGAUACGAAAGCGUGGGGAGCAAACGGG
rnacentral:rRNA from 1 species